rnacentral:misc_RNA from 1 species
UACUUUAAUAAUAAAACUGUCUACAUCUUAGAUUAUUCAUGCAAACCGUAAUGGUCCCGGCCAGACAUCAGAUAACUCUCCUAACAGGCGUCAGCUCCGAGUGAUACAAGCCCACCGCGUGGACAUCACUCCAGCGGAUCAACGGAGAAAACAACUUGAUAAUAUUGAAGCGCACUGCAGUGGUCCUUCUGUUACUGGAUCAGCAAGCGACGUCUUCGACUUGGACAAUCCCCUGCACCUGUAUGCGCAAGCUAAGCGUUUACAAGCAUUACACGCAAGCAGUCAACGCAGCUCGAAUCGCUCUCCGUACAAACAUGGUGUUUACCAAGAAAAAUCUGAUGAUAAGUCGGAAGACGGAAUCAAAGAGAAAUGUGACGACAGGAAUAAAUCUGUGUGCGCGUUAUGUCG